GACGAACGCUGGCGGCGUGCCUAAUACAUGCAAGUCGAACGCUGAAGCGAGGAGCUUGCUCUUCUUGGAUGAGUUGCGAACGGGUGAGUAACGCGUAGGUAACCUGCCUUGUAGCGGGGGAUAACUAUUGGAAACGAUAGCUAAUACCGCAUAACAAUGGAUGACACAUGUCAUUUAUUUGAAAGGGGCAAUUGCUCCACUACAAGAUGGACCUGCGUUGUAUUAGCUAGUAGGUGAGGUAAUGGCUCACCUAGGCGACGAUACAUAGCCGACCUGAGAGGGUGAUCGGCCACACUGGGACUGAGACACGGCCCAGACUCCUACGGGAGGCAGCAGUAGGGAAUCUUCGGCAAUGGGGGCAACCCUGACCGAGCAACGCCGCGUGAGUGAAGAAGGUGUUCGGAUCGUAAAGCUCUGUUGUGAGUCAAGAACGGGUGUGAGAGUGGAAAGUUCACACUGUGACGGUAGCUUACCAGAAAGGGACGGCUAACUACGU
rnacentral:rRNA from 1 species